GGAGAAUUGGCAGAGUGGUAAUGCAGCCAGUUGCUAACCAGUACACCGGAAACGGUGCAGGGGUUCAAAUCCCUUAUUCUCCG
rnacentral:tRNA from 1 species